AGGGAUAUAGCUCAGCUGGUAGAGUGCUUGCCUUGCAUGCACAAAGCCCUAGGUUCAAUUCCUAGCACCACAA
rnacentral:tRNA from 1 species